AUUACCAUUUUGUAGACAUGCUCAACAAUUAUUUUUCAUUUAUAAGAACGUUAAAAAACGAACCGACGAGCGAAAGAAAUAUGCAAAUUAACAGGGACCGAAAGAGAGGCAGAGCAAAGGAAAAUUAACAAUUUGCUGCGCUUUUGCGAAAUUAUAUGCCUGGCAAUCGUAUGUAAAUUCCAUCAGUACAGCGUUGAUUGACCCCUGUGUCCCGGAGCGACAUUAGGGUCGAAAUAAUUUUCAAUUAUCUCCCACCCUUCCCGUGGACCCUUGUGGCGCUACCAAAGGACUCGGGGCCGGCUUCCUCUGGCAUAUCUUAGCCCCAGAUGACAUCAAACGCCCCUCGCUUAUCUUGCUCAACUUGCUGCCAACUUCCGUGAGGCUUCAGUAAUUUUGCAAGCACAUUAACAGUUUCAUUAUUGCUUCUGUAUGAAUUCAGAGGAGAGCCAAGUCCGCCGCCCAUUUACUUUUACAAUUUCCCCCACGGACGCAGUUCUGGGCACAACAUCAAUCUGGCCGA